rnacentral:lncRNA from 1 species
CGACUACAUCUUAGUCCACUUACUUAAUUCAAAAGUUUGAAAAAAGAAAUCGUUCUGAGGAGGGUCCAUAUCCGGGUCGAAACGUUAACUAAAAAUACGUUUUCUUAAUUGACCGAUCACCAAGACUCUAUAAUAUAUCACAUACGAGAUCGAGAAUUCUUAUUCAUCAGACAUUAAAUAGAAUACAGCAUAGGUAAUUUGAAGGUCGUAAACAAUAUUUCAAAGAAAUUAGGAACUUUAUUUUUCAUAUUUUAUACAUCGUAAUAUGGAUGAUAUACUUGACAUCAAAAUUCUCCACGAAUCUUAGGUUUCAUAUUAAUAUUAGCAUAAAUUAUUGUUAUAAGUUUCAGUAAUAUUAUAAAUCGGUAACUCACAGCUUCAUCUGAAUUGUUUAAAAUUCGAAUGAAUAUAUAUUGUUAUUGUUAAAAAUCAAAUACCAAACUCGAGACAAAUAGCAUAAAAAUAUUCCUUUUCGUUUUGUCCGUGCAAGAAAUAUUGCUUGAAGAUAUAUAUUAUUUAUUAGAAUAAUCACAACUUUCACUUGAUUUAGAAUCGUGUCUUUUUCUGUGCGCUAAAGCAGAACCAUCAAUAAAAUAAAAAUUCACAUUUUUAUAAGACUUGCUUCAUCAACAAUAAUUAUAUAGUUUGUACUUGGCAAAUAAAUUAACUUGCAUUGUUUCAUCUCACGCUUUUUUCCCUGACUAGAUUAGCUUCACUAUGAUGGAGCGAAAAAUUAAGAAACAUUUAUAUUGUUUAUAUAAUAUAUGCAGAAUACACUAUAGCGUUAUAUACCAUUUCAUCAUAUCUAAAUUUUCAAUUACAAUCUAUUUUUCUACACCGCAUUUAAAUUAGUCUUAUACAAUGAUUUUACCUAUUCUCAUUGUUGUACACUUGUGUUCAGUUGGUAUAUUGAUCUAAUACUGUAGGAAUAUCUUGACAUACAGCAUUUGCGAAUCGUUGUAGAAUGAUGAAGUGGCAAGUGUAAAACCUUUCAUAAUCUCCAUUCGUGCCCAUCAACAAAAAUUACAUUCCUUCAUCCAUGUAUUGAUCCAUUAAAAAUAUUAAAUUGAUAUUUCGAAAAGGAAAACAAACACGCAAAAAUACCAAUUAUUAUUAUACAAAUACAAAUCAAGAAAUAACUGACUUUUACAACUUAAGCUUAUUCAAACUGCGAUACACGUGGUCUUAAAUUACAUUUUUCGUUCAUUCCCAACAAACAUUAGUUCAGUUUUAAUGGCCUAUCUGUAUAGUUUAAUGUCUAUUGCACAUGUUGCUUUGUCAAGUAAAGUAAAUAGAACAGAGUGAAAGAUAAAAUUGGCAAAAAUCUAUUACACCAUUUUUAAUUUUAUAAAUUAUUUGUACAUGGUAAUUAUAAAUGUCAAUAAAAUUUUAUACGUUAGCAUUGAGAAGUCUGUUCUAAAGAAGGAAAAACUAUAACGAUUGCCGUACCAAAGCAAUGUUUGACUCGAGUUUGAAUUGGUUACAAUAGCUGUAUAAAAUUGUUGGAAGUAAUGGAACAAAAAUUAAUAGUUCGAAUUUAUAAUUUUUAUUCCAAUAAAUAUUAUUAUCUCGUGUUAUGAAAUUUUUCUUAACUCUGAAUCGAACGUAAAUUAAGAUAUACUUAUGACUUCUACACAGACACACAUAUCACUACAUAUUUCAAUAGUCAUGUCAUUAAUUGAAACACGCAUAUAUUCGUAUUUUACGGUAAAAAUUCAAACAAAAUCUUAUACUUUUAGCAUAGAUAAAUACAGAUUGAUAAACAUUAAGUACUACUUCAUUAAUACUCGUUUAGAGAAUAAAUUUGUAUUAUUUUGAAAGUAGACUGAGGUAUUGCUUUUUUGUACUAAAUUCUGGGUACUUCCUAAUUGAGUAUGAUUUGUGCCGAAUGAUCCUAUUUUUACACCAAAAUCCAAAACCGAAUUCCAAUUACAAGGAUACCGAGUUCUAUAGUUCCUGUUAGUCAAUUUAACUUCCUUUUCAGCAUUUCGGAAGCAACCGUUGUUUCCUUGUAUUUAUAAGAAACGUAAUCAAAUCAACAAUUUUCGUCCCAACUUUAUCCUGCAAUUACGAAAUUUUGAAAGAACCAUUAUAGUUCGCUUAUACAGCACAUCCUGUAUUAUAUAUUAUCAAACUUUCACCUAAAACUUAACAUACUUAAUCAUCUCAUAGUUGAUUUAGGUUACGUAUAAUCGUUUAAAUAAUUUAAAAUGCUAUUCUCUACCCUCUGAGACUACAUUAAAUUCUCUAAAACUUUUUUCCCAUAGCUUGGAAAUAUUGUUAAUGUUUCAAAAUGUAAAUAUCUUUAACACAAGUUUACAGCUAUAAAAUUAUUAAGCAAUCGGUGGUAUUGUUAGUAUUCAAAGUUUGAGAAAAAGAUAGCACAAACUCAUUUCAGAACAUACUUUUAACCCUUUUAACAUAUAUUUUUAAUUACCACUUUUCACUCUGCAGUCAUACUUUGACUGUACACAUAUUUAUGUGUGUGUAUUAUAAUAUAUACACAGACAUAGUUUUUGGAGUCAAACUAGAUUAGUUACAUUCAACCAAAUGAAAUUACCCCUAAAGCAGAUCAAAAAGAUUAGCCUAGAGAAAUUCUCUAGGGCAGUAGACUAUCAAUAUCGUUAUAUAUUUUCGAUUCUCUUUUUGGACAACAUCAACAUAAUUCUUUGCAUCAGUCUUCAAUCAGUCUUACUGGUGUGUGCAAUCAAUAUUUAUUACAACUUAGUUCAUUCUUUUCAAAUACCUAAACUACAAAACGAUCAAUUACUGAUAGAAUCCGUUAUUUCCACCCGAGCCAUUACUUUCUAUUCCACGAAAACUAAUAAUAUCCCUUUCCCUGUAUGCGAGAAAAUAAAUAGUCUACCUAACAAAAAGAAAAUUAUUAAAAAUUUCUGAAGUUCAUGUCCGAUUAAUUCUUAAGUAUACAUAUAUAGUGGCACCAUACUCGAAGAGGGAGAAACAAAACAAUAAAAUUUACACAGUCAU